GCCCCUUUAGCUCAGUUGGUAGAGCGCGACACUAGUAGCUAAUUCACUCUGCCAUGUCGAGGUCGCCAGUUCGACUCUGUCAGGGGGCA